UUCGGUCCUGAGUAGAGUGGCGAACGGGUGAGUAACGCGUGGGUGACCUACCCUCGAGUGGGGGAUAACGUUCCGAAAGGGACGUUAAUACCGCAUGACAUUCCGGGUUUGAAGACCUGGAAAUCAAAGCCGGGGACCGCAAGGCCUGGCGCUAGAGGAGGGGCCCGCGUCUGAUUAGCUAGUUGGCGGGGUAACGGCCCACCAAGGCGACGAUCAGUAGCCGGCCUGAGAGGGCGGACGGCCACACUGGGACUGAGACACGGCCCAGACUCCUACGGGAGGCAGCAGUGGGGAAUUGUUCGCAAUGGGCGCAAGCCUGACGACGCAACGCCGCGUGGAGGAUGAAGGUCUUCGGAUCGUAAACUCCUGUUGAUCGGGACGAAAAGCUUCGACCUAAUACGUCGAAGACUGACGGUACCGGUUGAGGAAGCCACGGCUAACUCUGUGCCAGCAGCCGCGGUAAUACAGAGGUGGCAAGCGUUGUUCGGAAUUACUGGGCGUAAAGGGCGCGUAGGCGGCCUUCUAAGUCGGACGUGAAAGCCCCAGGCUUAACCUGGGAACUGCGUCCGAUACUGGAAGGCUUGGAUUCGGGAGAGGGAUGUGGAAUUCCAGGUGUAGCGGUGAAAUGCGUAGAUGUCUGGAGGAACACCGGUGGCGAAGGCGGCAUCCUGGACCGAGAUCGACGCUGAGGCGCGAAAGCUAGGGGAGCAAACGGGAUUAGAUACCCCGGUA
rnacentral:rRNA from 1 species